rnacentral:lncRNA from 1 species
CCAAACAAGAAAUUGAUCUAUUCUAACCCAAUCGCGAGGUGAGGGAAGAAGCGGCGAAAACGGGGAAACUGGGCUGUUGGCGAUCUGUGAGGAGAAGAGAACUCCAUUGCUACCAGCACUGUUCUCCUCCUUCCUCUUCUCAUUAGUGAAAAGGGGCCCGACAACUUGAGCGAGAUCGCCUUGUAGAGGCGAGGUUGUGACUAGGGAGAUCGGGGACCUUCUGCUCUUUCAGGAUCGAAAACCUUCUGCGGCUAGGGAGAUCCUCUGCUCUCCAUAGAGGAGCAGAGAGCAGAGAUCUGCUCACCCAAAGCGCGCCUUCUCUGGACCGAGAUCAGCGCUCAGUGAAGCGAGGAGAUCUCACCACUACUACUAGGCGGCGGUGGCAAAGACUCUUCCAGACUGCUGGCAAUGGGAAGGCUGUGAUCGUCGACCUGCUGUAAUCGCACCCUUCCCUCUACAGCCCCUCUGCUCUCCUUCUUCCUCUUCUCAAGAGGAGAAGAGGCACCGGCGAAAGAGGAGAGAUCGCACCAUCUACUCUCCUUCUUCCUCUUCCCCAGGAAUAGGGGAGAAGCAGCAGGCGACCAGUUGGGAGAGGAAUCAUUGGCAAAGGCAGCGACAGAUUGACGACCAAUCCUCUUUGCAGCCAGUGGAUUUGCACUCUUCUUCUUGCGGUCGACACUCUUCUUCUUCACGGAACAGUGGAGGAGAGAUCGGAGGAAGGCUGCUGAGAUCGCCCCCUUCUCGUGGUCAGUGGUUCUCUGCUGUGGCUGGCGGUUCUACAUCCCCUUCUCUCCUCCUGUUCUGCUCGAUGGAGCAGAGGAGGGUUUCUUUGGGGGCGGCAACUGCAUGUAGCCAUCUACAUUUCUUCGUCUCCUUCUCAUAAGGAGGAACAAAGGUGAGGUAGGCUGGGUGACAGCGGCGGCGGCUGCAACGGGAAGGCUGGGAUCGUCGAACUGUGAUCUCUCUCUGCAGCCUCUCUUGCCAAGGAACAGGGAUCAACUCGGCUGUAAUAUUUCUCAUUUUUUUAAAUUAUUAAUAAAAAUUUAUUUAUAAAUCGGUGGA